rnacentral:rRNA from 1 species
GAUGAACGCUGGCGGCGUGCCUAAUACAUGCAAGUCGAGCGAACCACUUCGGUGGUGAGCGGCGAACGGGUGAGUAACACGUAGGUCAUCUGCCCAUCAGACGGGGACAACGAUUGGAAACGAUCGCUAAUACCGGAUAGGACGAAAGUUUAAAGGUGCUUCUGGCACCGCUGAUGGAUGAGCCUGCGGCGCAUUAGCUAGUUGGUAGGGUAAAGGCCUACCAAGGCGACGAUGCGUAGCCGACCUGAGAGGGUGAACGGCCACACUGGGACUGAGACACGGCCCAGACUCCUACGGGAGGCAGCAGUAGGGAAUCUUCGGCAAUGGGCGAAAGCCUGACCGAGCAACGCCGCGUGAAUGAUGAAGGCCUCCGGGUUGUAAGAUUCUGUUAUAAGGGAAGAACGACUUUAGUAGGAAAUGGCUAGAGUGUGACGGUACCUUAUGAGAAAGCCACGGCUAACUACGUGCCAGCAGCCGCCGUAA